ACAUAACAAUACAAUAUAUGCAUAAGUUAUCUCUUUUUAAAUUAUAUUUUCAGAUUUUAGAUAAUUCUUACUAUUCUUAAUAUUAAUCAAUUAUCUAAUCAAAAUCAAUUAAAAUUUUGUUUUUAUUUUUUAAUUUAUUUAUAUAAAAAAAUUCAUUAAGGGUAUUAUAGAUAUUAACCGUUCUAACUUUCAACGUGAGAGUUCGAUUCCAAAAAUUUAUUUCGCAGAUAAUAGUAUAGAUCUAGACUUUAGCGAAAACACCUAAAAUUUAAGUGAUUUCAAAAACAAUCAAAAAAUAUGGUACAUGUUUUGAACCAGGCCUACUUUAAUAAACUAGUAGUUUAAAAUGGUUUCAGUUAUUUAUUUUAUAGGUGAGGAAGUUAAAUGCUUGCAAGAGAAAAGUAGGAGAGGUGGCCAACUUGCUGAACUAACUUCGCCUUUAUGCUUUUGGCAUGCUGAUGUCAUAAACCUCAAUUAGAUUUGCGCCACGUAUCGGAGAAUCAAUAUGGGCCCUUCUUCGAGUGCUUAUGAUUACGACGUUUAUAUAAAACUGUCGGUAGGGAUUGUCCCCACGUGGAAAUCUACUGGUGGCUUCUGAUUUCAAAAUUGUUGGUUAUUUAUUCAUUUUCGGUGGAGAAAUGGAGGAAAACAAAUAUCUAAUGUUUUUUUCUAAAUCAGCAAAUAUCUCGUGUUCAAAUUUUGUUAAAGUAAAAGACAAAAGACAUCACAUAAAUUUUUAGUAAUUGUUUAUUUCUUUGGCCACCAUUGAAGAGGAUGCUUUAUUUGAAAGCAAAAUGACCUAAAACAUGGCAUAAGUUACAUAUUAAUAGUUUAUGGUGUCACAUAAAUUACAUAUAGAACUCGUACUGGACUAAUAAAACGAAAAUUAACAAAGCAAAAACAAGAAAGCGAUUAUAAAAAAACGUAUCCUCAAUUUCAAGUAAAAGUCCACUUUGAAUCUAUAUAAAUAUAGGCUUAGAUCGUCAAAGAGUUCACAACUUCCAUACAAGACCUUAUGAUGAACUACAAUGUCUUCAGCUUGUGUUUCUGACAAAUGAAUCUAUUUUUCAACUAUGCAAUCGCCAUAUUUUCAUAUUAUAAAAAUUUAACAUAAACUCACAGCUUAGUUCUAACUAUCUUUUGAUAGGAAGAAUUAAAAAUCAAAAUCUUCAAAGAACUACCUGCACGGUGAAGGUACUGAUGAUAAUGAUAGUUUAUGAGAGGUUCUUUGUACAAAUGUCUUACUAUUUUGACCAAGUAAGAUACCAAAUAAGCUAUGUUUUUAGGGUUUUUUUUGUCGAUAUCAGUGAAACUUCUGGAACCAUUUAAAUCCAUAAUCUCCCUCGCCCUGUAAACAAAUCCUCAAAUGAGGUGUAACACUAAUGCCACUAGACUAUUAUGUACACUUAUUUGAGCAUUUAAAACUGAAGGUCAUUACUGGGAAGUUUUGACUUUGGGAGGAGUGUUGAUAACUUUAAAUAGUAGAGAAUGGGAUGGAGAGAAACAGAAGAUGGUGGAGAAGUUUUCGCUUGAUGGAUCUUCUAAACUUGCUGAUAAAUUGAUACUUGGAUCAAGAUGCAAAACUUUUGUUGCAUUGCAGAUAC